UACGUAGGGUGCGAGCGUUGGCCGGAAUUAUUGGGCGUAAAGGGCUCGUAGGCGGUUUGUCGCGUCGGGAGGGAAAACGCCGUGCUUAACACGGCGCUUGCUUUCGAUACGGGCAGACUAGAGGUAUGCAGGGGAGAACGGAAUUCCUGGUGUAGCGGUGAAAUGCGCAGAUAUCAGGAGGAACACCGGUGGCGAAGGCGGUUCUCUGGGCAUUACCUGACGCUGAGGAGCGAAAGUGUGGGGAGCGAACAGG
rnacentral:rRNA from 1 species